rnacentral:lncRNA from 1 species
GAAUGGAGCGGGAGAUGCUGGUAGGAGAAGUUGCCGAAAGGCAAGCUGGAAUGGCCAGGAGCUGCGCGCCGCCGGCCCCGUCGCACACCGGAGCAGCUGAACUUUGUGGGGUCUGAACAUUUUUCUCCUCUGCGAACGCUCUGGGCAGCGCUGACGGGAGAGCCAGGACGGCACCGCACACCUUGAGCCCGGCCGAACCUGGGGUAGUGCCAAGGGGGGAUUUCUGUCUCUCCAAGGACCAUCGCCUCUGAAAAAAAAAAAAAAAAAAAAAAAGCUGGAGAAGGGCGAUUUAUCUUUCUUUUCCAGAUGACUGAAAAGAUCUACAGGACCCUGUCUCUCUGGUUUUCAUUGGUGAGUAGCAUAAGGGACAGGCAACUGAGGAACAAAAAUGAUAUCGGUCAAAAUCAUUCCAGCACCUGCUUUUUCCUGAGGAACUUCAUGGCCAUAGGGGUUUUCUGUGGGCAUUCCCAGGAGUGAGACCGAGGUACCACAGAUCCUUCCCUACCGGAUCAUGUAAGAAUUUGCAAAUGAGAAACGUACCCCAUCCAGACCUUCUCUGCCCGCUUUGCAGUACAUGGUUUGGUGUAAGCACGGCAAUUCUCACCUCUUUCUCUCCCUUUUAAGUCUCUUGAGCUUGGAGACCUCUUUCCUCAUUGCAAUUAUGAUCAUUUGUAACAUCAGUGCCAUCAAAGAUUGGAGCACUUUCCUUUCCCAAAUCCUCCCCAGCGUUAACAAGACUCUGAACUUGGUACAGCAAGUGGAAGCCACCACCAGCUCGGUGGUAAGUGUCCUCCAGGACCCCGAACAGGACAACUACCUGUCCAAUAGCCAGUCCAUGAACUCCAGCAACUUCACAGCUGGCCUGGACCAUUUGUUCCAGUACUCAUACUCGGACAAUGACCAGCUCUACAAGGAGUACAAACCCCCUCCUCGAGACGCCAUUCCUCUGCCCAAAGCUGUCCUCUACCUCCUCAUGGCAGCCCUGGUGGUGGUGGCAGUGGCGUAUGCCAUCGUCGGGCAUCUCAUCAAGGACCUCAUUUACGACUUUGUAGACUGGAUCUUUGGCCCCAACCCAGAUGACAACAGCAACAAGAGCGACGUCAACUGCAUCAGCAACAGCGUCAACGAGAUGAGCGAGAUGCCCGAGGCGCCGCGGCGCCGCGAGCGCCAGCCCCAGGACGUGGUCAUUGCCAUCAACGAGACUUGUCACCUGCCACAGCAGACGUGACCCACGCACGCCCGGGCCAGGCGGGAUGGAGCAGCAGGAUGGAGCAGAAGGAUGGAGCAGAAGGAUGGAGCAGUGAAACAGUGCAGCAGGACCGGGCAGGGAGAGGAAGGGAUGGGCAAAGCCGGCACCGUGAAGCAAAGCCCUUCUCCCCCUGGUUUUACCAGCCUCUAAGGACCUUGCGGGCGUGGGUGGCAUCACCCCUUCUCCCAGGCUUGUCAGCCCUGUCCUGACGUCUGCCCUUGGGUUUGUGACCCCCUCUUUGUUCCCUGUGAAUAGCAAAAAAGAAAAAGCAAAUGCAAAAUGCACCCACCAGACAAAGCUUGCAAGAGAAAUGAGCUGGAGAGAGGCCGGGCGGUCCUUUGGUAUGUGGCUGUCCAGUGGUGUGGGAAUGGGUGGGGAAAAGGGCAAAGAGGACAAGGAGGCUGCAGAGAAAUGUGGGUGUCUGCAUUUCCGGGGACAGGCCCAGGACACAUCAGGGAGCUGGGAGCUGCAGAAAGGCACAGAAAGGUCAGUAGGGGCCAAAUCCCCCAGUACACUGGUGAUCUGCCUGGGCCGUCGCUCCUGUUUUUAGUUUUGCAGCUCCAGCUCACAGCCCUUUUCAGCAGGUGUGUUCUGUGGCUCUGGGACAGCAGGGUGACAGCCCAAACUUCCCAGGGAGCCUUAUUCUCCAGGCCUGUAGCCAAGCCAGGGCCAUCACAUUCCCUCCACCACAUCUCUGCUUGAGCCCAGCACACCCUGACAGGGAGCAGCCCUGUUGGGUCCAGGUACAACCCCUUUUUCUGAGGAAUGUUGCUGAAGAGGACAGGGACUCAUCUGCAUGAAAUCCAAACUCUUCAUGAGGGAAAAUAGCCCUUGUAUGUCUGCAUCCUUCAGAUUCAUCCCAGCAUGUCCACCUCCUACAUCACCCCCAAACUUCCUGCCACCCCAAGGGGUGCUGCCUCUGUACUGGGGUCAGUCCCUCAUGCACUGAUGGAGCAAGGACACCUCCCUCUUCUCCCUG